rnacentral:rRNA from 1 species
GGCUUAACCCGGAUCUGCGGUGGGUACGGGCAGACUAGAGUGCAGUAGGGGAGACUGGAAUUCCUGGUGUAGCGGUGGAAUGCGCAGAUAUCAGGAGGAACACCGAUGGCGAAGGCAGGUCUCUGGGCUGUAACUGACGCUGAGGAGCGAAAGCAUGGGGAGCGAACAGGAUUAGAUACCCUGGUAGUCCAUGCCGUAAACGUUGGGCACUAGGUGUGGGGACCAUUCCACGGUUUCCGCGCCGCAGCUAACGCAUUAAGUGCCCUCCUGGGGAGUACGGCCGCAAGGCUAAAACUCAAAGGAAUUGACGGGGGCCCGCACAAGCGGCGGAGCAUGCGGAUUAAUUCGAUGCAACGCGAAGAACCUUACCAAGGCUUGACAUGUUCUCGAUCGCCGUAGAGAUACGGUUUCCCCUUUGGGGCGGGUUCACAGGUGGUGCAUGGUUGUCGUCAGCUCGUGUCGUGAGAUGUUGGGUUAAGUCCCGCAACGAGCGCAACCCUCGUUCCAUGUUGCCAGCACGUAAUGGUGGGGACUCAUGGGAGACUGCCGG